AGAAAACAGUUCAGCACUAAGUCACUUUGUCUAUAUGGCAAAUGUGAGAUGCAGUGUAUGGAGCGUCAAUAUUCUAGUAUGAGAAAUUAACGAUUUAAGUCCUUCUUAAAUGAGGCCAUUUACCCAUAGAGGGUGCCAGGCCCGUAUAACGUUAAUGAUUACUAGAUGAUGUUUCCAAAGAGUCGUGUUGCUUGAUAGUGCAGCACUAAGUGGGUGGUAAACUCCAUCUAAAACUAAAUAUAACCAUGAGACCGAUAGUAAACAAGUACCGUGAGGGAAAGUUGAAAAGAACUCUGAAUAGAGAGUUAAACAGUACGUGAAACUGCUUAGAGGUUAAGCCCGAUGAACCUGAAUAUCCGUUAUGGAAAAUUCAUCAUUAAAGUUGUAAUAUUUUAACAAUAUUAUAAUAAUAGUGUGCAUUUUUUCCAUAUAAGGACAUUGUAAUCUAUUAGCAUAUACCAAAUUUAUCAUAAAAUAUGGCUUAUAGUUUAUUCAAAUUAUUAUGCUUGCAUUUUAACAUAGAAUAAAUGUCAUUAAUUUGAUAAAGUGUUGAUAAAUUAAAAUUAAUACAGUGCGUUAAUUUUUCGAAAUUAUAUAAUGGCAUAAUUAUCAUCGAUUUUUGUGUUUAUUAUAUGCAUUUGUAUGAUUAA
rnacentral:rRNA from 1 species